rnacentral:rRNA from 1 species
UACGGAGGGUGCGAGCGUGUCCGGAAUCACUGGGCGUAAAGGGCGCGUAGGUGGCGACGCAAGUCAACGGUGAAAGCUCGACGCUCAACGUCGAGCUCGGCCGUCGAUACUGCAUCGCUGGAGCACUGUAGAGGCAGAUGGGAAUUCCGGGAUGUAGCGGUGGAAUGCGUAGAGAUCCGGAAGAACACCGGUGGCGAAGGCGGUCUGCUGGGGAGUACCUGACG